UGCACAGCAAAGUGACCUCCCUGUAUUCUUUCUAUUGACAGACACAUGAUCAGUGGUAUCCAACACCUCCAAAAAGGUGACAGCCCCAGUUACGUGCCAGGCACGAGGCCAGGUACUCUCCACACAAGAACACAUUUUGUUCUCACCACAACCUACUAAGAUAGAUACUCUUCUUAUCCUCCAUUCCACAGAUUAGGAAACUGACAUAGAGAAGGCAAAGGCAGUUGCCCAAGGUCACACAGCUCGUAACCGGAGGAGCCAGGCGUUAAACCCAUGCAGUGUGUGUGUCGAUAACCAUGCUACGCCACAGCCUAGCUGGCCGGUGCUGAUGGUUAUGGGUAAUUUCCAGAGAGUUAAGUAUAGCUCACUUUCUCUACUAUUCAGAGAGCAACUUCACAUCCAUUCGAAUUGAAUCGUUUUUUAAAAGACAUAAAUCAGUCAAAAAUAUUGACUCUUUCCUUGAUCAGUGAAGAACUCACUGUAUCAUAUAUUACUUUGGUCACGACAGACCAGUGGAGACAGAUUUAUAGAAGCUCAGAGAAGAUGGUUACUUCUGAAGGGCGGAUGCAUUCAGUUCCAGUCUUUGCAUCCCUGAUACCCGAGUAAAAUGCAGCUGAGAGGAGUCACCUAGUUGCCCCUCGGCCCUGAGCCAGUGUUUGGUGAUAUGACCCCUCUGCUCCCCAAGCCUCAUGCCAAGUCAGCCACACUCAACACACCAUCAUCACAGGCCCCUGUGGAAAUGCGCAGAUUGCAGCCAUAGGAAGCCAUGCGGCUGUGUAAUUAUUCAGAAUCCAGCUCAAAUGUCAGAAGAGUGGACUUUAGUUUGAGAUCCCAACCUAAAGUAACAGCCUCCCUGGCUUCUACAUGUUACUCUGGUAAGUUUAUUUCCUUUUGUUUCUGUCUUUGUUAUUUGUUCUGUCUCCCUCAACUCCGCCUCCCCAAAUGUAAGCACCCUGGGAGCAGAAACAAGGUCUGCCUUUUUCAUUGCCGUUUCCACAGAUUCGAUAACCGCAAACUCCUCCACCCAACAUACUAGACAUCCAAUAAGUAUUUAUGAAAUUGAAUGAAUUAGAAGAGGGUAGGGAAAGAAGGGAGAAGGCUGCCAAAAUUUAAGUCACCUAGGGCCAAUUAUUACGCUUCUGCAGUAAUCUAGUGAGAAAUGAUGAGGCCCUAGCAGUGGUUUGCCAUCUUGGCUAUGUAUUGGAGUCACCAGGGGAGUUUUAAAAAAUACUAACACCUGAGUGCCAUCCUCAGCAAUCCUGAUUUAAUUGGUGGAUGCAGCCUGGGCAUCAACAUUUUUUAAAGCUCUGCAGGAGAUUCUAACAUGCAGCUGGAGUUGAAACCACUGCCCCAAAGGCAAAGGAAGAUACAGAAGGGGCAAUGCAGGGAUGUUUAGGAGACACAAUAGGCAGAACUUGGCGGUUAAAUAUGAAUUAGAACUGAUCAAAAGGAGGCUGCCUGUGAAGAAUCCUAGAUUUCUGGAUUGGGCCUGGGUGAAAGAAAGAGGUAAAUUUUGAGAAAAAGAUAACAUUCUUUCUGGGAUAGGCUGAGUUUGAAGUGCCUGUGGGAGAUACUUGAGGUGAGAUAUUUGAUAGAUUGUUUCUUAAUAGAUUUAUAUUGCUACAGUGAAGAAUAGGAAAUCCUUGCAGUUUUCAAGAAGAAAACUAGGAAAAGGUAUCUCUGGAAAUUAUGACAACUAUGUAGAAUACAAGUCCAUUUCCACUCAGCAGAGCCAUUUUACUCAAAACUCCCUUCCAAGCCAAUGCCCCAUCUGUUCUGAGAUGUUCAACAUGUUGAUAUAUUCCCAAGAAAGAUUAUAUCAUGUAUGGGUGAGAUUCUAUAUAUCCAAUUAACUUACUAUUCUUGUACUAUUGGUAGGCUUAAAGUAUCCCAUUGAUUACAUUAUUUGAAUAUACUGUUGGUUGCCUUCAAAUAAUGCUAUUGAAUGCUAUUUGAAUGCAUAUUGCAGCUUUAAGACUUGUGAUAAGUGAAAUCAACUAUAAUUUUAAAAAAAUAGGAGUUCCCGUUGUGGCUCAGCGGCUA